rnacentral:ncRNA from 2 species
UCGGUGCUCGCCUGGCCAUCGCCCGGCGAGCUGAAAAGGGAACCCGGUGAGAAUCCGGGACUGCCCCCGCAGCGGUGAACGGGAACGACCAUCACCAUCGAGCACUGGGCCGCGCUUGAGCGGCCUGGGAAGCGGUGAUCAGUAGGAAAGCGUCCGGCGACGGCCGCAGCGCCCGUGAGUCCGAAGACCUGCCGA